rnacentral:rRNA from 1 species
GGAUCAUUACCGAGUUAUCACAACUCCAACCCCUUGGGAACCUUACCGUCGUUUCCUCGGCGCACUGCUGCGGGAAGCUACCCUGUAGUGGUUGUUUACCCUACAGCUCGCACCCUGCAGCGGCGCCGAAAGGACUCCCAAAACUCUUUUAUCUAAGUUACCUCGAACAAUUUACUAUACAAUAGUAUUAAAACUUUCAACAACGGAUCUCUUGGUUCUGGCAUCGAUGAAGAACGCAGCGAAAUGCGAUAAGUAAUGUGAAUUGCAGAAUUCAGUGAAUCAUCGAAUCUUUGAACGCACAUUGCGCCCAUUAGUAUUCUAGUGGGCAUGCCUAUUCGAGCGUCAUUUCAACCCUUAAGCCCUGUUGCUUAGCGUUGGGAAUCUGCUGCUUCGGCGCAGUUCCUUAAAUUCAUUGGCGGAGCUGUGGCACACUCUAGGCGUAGUAGUUUAACACCUCGCCUCUAGAGUGGCCUCGGUUACUUGCCGUAAAACCCCUAUAUUUCUAAUGGUUGACCUCGGAUUAGGUAGGAAUACCCGCUGAACUUAAGCAUAUCAAUAAGCGGAGGAA